rnacentral:rRNA from 1 species
CCUACGGGUGACAGCAGUGGGGAAUAUUGGGCAAUGGGCGCAAGCCUGACCCAGCAACGCCGCGUGAAGGAAGAAGGCUUUCGGGUUGUAAACUUCUUUUGUCAGGGACGAAGCAAGUGACGGUACCUGACGAAUAAGCCACGGCUAACUACGUUCCAGCAGCAGCGGUAAUACGUAGGGGGCAAGCGUUCUCCGGAUUUACUGGGUGGAAAGGGCGUGUAGGCGGGACUGCAAGUCAGAUGUGAAAACCACGGGCUCAACCUGUGGCCUGCAUUUGAAACUGUAGUUCUUGAGUACUGGAGAGGCAGACGGAAUUCCUAGUGUAGCGGUGAAAUGCGUAGAUAUUAGGAGGAACACCAGUGGCGAAGGCGGUCUGCUGGACAGCAACUGACGCUGAGGCGCGAAAGCGUGGGGAGCAAACAGGAUUAGAUACCCCAGUAGUC